UACGGAGGGUGCAAGCGUUAUCCGGAUUCACUGGGUUUAAAGGGUGCGUAGGUGGGCAGGUAAGUCAGUGGUGAAAUCUCCGAGCUUAACUCGGAAACUGCCGUUGAUACUAUUUGUCUUGAAUAUUGUGGAGGUAAGCGGAAUAUGUCAUGUAGCGGUGAAAUGCUUAGAUAUGACAUAGAACACCAAUUGCGAAGGCAGCUUACUACACAACGGUUGACGCUGAGGCACGAAAGCGUGGGGAUCAAACAGG
rnacentral:rRNA from 1 species